GCGGAAGUAGCUCAGUUGGUAGAGCGCAACCUUGCCAAGGUUGAGGUCGCGAGUUCGAGUCUCGUCUUCCGCU
rnacentral:tRNA from 1 species